GAUGAACGCUGGCGGCGUGCCUAAUACAUGCAAGUCGAGCGAACGGACGAGAAGCUUGCUUCUCUGAUGUUAGCGGCGGACGGGUGAGUGACACGUGGAUAACCUACCUAUAAGACUGGGAUAACUUCGGGAAACCGUAGCUAAUACCGGAUAAUAUUUUGAACCGCAUGGUUCAAUAGUGAAAGACGGUCUUGCUGUCACUUAUAGAUGGAUCCGCGCUGCAUUAGCUAGUUGGUAAGGUAACGGCUUACCAAGGCAACGAUGCAUAGCCGACCUGAGAGGGUGAUCGGCCACACUGGAACUGAGACACGGUCCAGACUCCUACGGGAGGCAGCAGUAGGGAAUCUUCCGCAAUGGGCGAAAGCCUGACGGAGCAACGCCGCGUGAGUGAUGAAGGUCUUCGGAUCGUAAAACUCUGUUAUUAGGGAAGAACAUAUGUGUAAGUAACUGUGCACAUCUUGACGGUACCUAAUCAGAAAGCCACGGCUAACUACGUG
rnacentral:rRNA from 1 species